CUAAACCCCUGGGUCAAUUGCUUUUCUAUGAAAAAUGGGUUAAAUAUAACCCAUAUUGGGUCAUUUUCCGUACCCAUUACCUGGGUUAUUCGCUAGACCCACAUCAGCACCCAGGCCCUGGGUCAUUUCAACCCUGUAAUCUAAGUUAUCUUGUCAAGAUAUUUGAAUUUUGAAUUUUACCGCCCGGUCGCCAUUGCCAAAACGGCUACCAGUAGACUACCAACGUCCAGAAGAAAGGACACCGGAUGGCAUGUGAAAGCAUUGUUUCGGUGGACUUCUCUCCUCUGACCUGUUACCAAGACAGCUGGGUGUGUAGGAAACUGGAACUAAGUCACUGAAGAAGUAAACCGAUGAAAACCGAUUUGGAUUGUCUGAGAGAUCUGUAGGACACAAGUAAGAGGAGAAGAAUGCUGCUCAGCUGGGUCGGCGUCGGCCACACUACUUAUUCAAGAAGCCCUUGGAUAUCAUCGGCAUGUAUGAAGCACAGUCAUUCCGGUAGUCCGUUCCUCGAUGGACGUGAUGACCUGGCACCAAAACCGCUUAAAGUGUAUGGAGCUGUGUCUGCAUCGAGGAAAGAACGCGGCACUGAAAUGACAAGAGGACUACUGCUCUACUGGGUCUGUGACACUACUUAUCCGAGGAGUCCUCAAACAUCAGGAUGUAGGAAGACACAAGUAAAAGGAGAAGAAUGCUGUUCAGCUGGGUCGGCGGCCACACUACUUAUUCAAGAAGCUCUUGGAUAUCAUCGGCAUGUAUGAAACUUGUGGUGAGAUGCCAAGAGCUGCCAUGAGGGAUAUGCAACCUGCAGCUUCACCGUGCUUUUGGGAGAUCAUCUACUACAUGAACCUUAAUAUCUACAAGCCAGCUACUUUAAAUCCUUGAAAGGGUACUGAUGUCAAUCAAACCAGAUCACGAGACAAGGUCCUGAGGUACAAACUGUCAAUCUAAUUGCGACAUCCCUGUCAGUUCUUUUGGACUUGAUACAUGCUGUGUUUGAAAUGUAUUAUUCGGAUAACCACCCAUCAGGGAAUACCUUGUCUGUUAAUGACAGAUAGACCUGCCAUGGACAUGCAGUGCACACUUUGAUGUUUUUUUAUUUUAAUGUUUUCUAUGUUUUUUCAAUGUUUUUUAUUUAUGUUCUGUUAUAUGCUGGUUAUGUAAGUACUGUAUGGAAUGUAGUGACUGUAGAGACCAAGACAAAUUUCAACCUGGGGACAAUUAAGUUCACUCCACUCUGUUAGCGCAGUUAUGGAUGCACUGUAAAGUUUGUAAUUAACAAAAAGUACGGUGAGAAGCCUGUUUGUGCAGAUGGACCUGCUGGCGGGUCUAUUUACUCAUAGCUAAAAAGCAACAUAUUCUCUGUGCAAAGCACAUGGGCUCUUCGCAAAGGGGUUAAACAUUUUAAUGUGCUGUUUUACAGUGUGCUAUACAAAAGGUAAGGUGAAACUAAAUUUUUGAAUUUCUAUAAUUGUACAGUGUCACUGAAAUCAAAUGGUACAUUGGUAAAACAGAACCAUUUCCUUAUAACCCCUUUUAGCAGAGCCUAUGUUUUAACUUUACUGUCACCAAUAUUGUAAUGACUGAGUUUUAACCUGUUACUUAAGGCUCUUGGUAAUGUCGUAGCAAUGUUGCUGUGAUGUAGUUGAGUCUUUUCGGUCAUGAGUGAUCAGUCUUGCUGAUAACCCAUCUUUGCAAAGAGGCUACAAAGAUGCAUGUAAAUUCAAUUAAGGUUUUAUUGCUUCAAUGCUAUGAUGUGUUAAUGCUACACUGCUGUGAUUUGCAUCUUUAUAGUAUACUUUUAUGAAAUGUAUUGUUAAUUAUCUACAUUGUUCAGCAAUA